UGGGGAAUAUUGCACAAUGGGCGCAAGCCUGAUGCAGCCAUGCCGCGUGAGUGAAGAAGGCCUUAGGGUUGUAAAACUCUUUCACCGGUGAAGAUAAUGACGGUAGCCGGAGAAGAAGCCCCGGCUAACUCCGUGCCAGCAGCCGCGGUAAUACGGAGGGGGCAAGCGUUGUUCGGAAUUACUGGGCGUAAAGGGCGCGUAGGCGGACUAUCAAGUCAGAGGUGAAAGCCCCGGGCUCAACCUGGGAACUGCCUUUGAAACUGAUAGACUAGAGUCCGGAAGAGGAUAGCGGAAUUCCCAGUGUAGAGGUGAAAUUCGUAGAUAUUGGGAAGAACACCAGUGGCGAAGGCGGCUAUCUGGUCCGGUACUGACGCUGAGGCGCGAAAGCGUGGGGAGCAAACAGGAUUAGAUACCCCUGUAGUCC
rnacentral:rRNA from 1 species